rnacentral:ncRNA from 2 species
UGAUGUCUGAAAAGGUGGGGUUGCAGAGUGCUGGCCAGCUUCCGACCGUCUCUCCCUGAAGCCGCCCCGGGGGAAGGUGCGGAGGACGCAGACAGCGGGCCCGAGAGCCGCAGCGGGGGCGAGGAGACCAGCGUGUGCGAGAAAUGCUGC